rnacentral:misc_RNA from 1 species
GAACGCACCUUGCGCCCUUUGGCCAUUCCGAAGGGCAUGCCUGUUUGAGUAUCAUGAACACCUCAACUCUCAUGGCUCGCCAUGAUGAGCUUGGAUUUGGGGGUCUUGCUGGCCUGUGGUCAGCUCCUCUCAAAUGGAUCAGCUUGCCAGUGUUUGGUGGCAUCACAGGUGUGAUAACUAUCUGCGCUUGUGGUUUUCCAUCAGAUAACCUUCAGUGAUGGAGGUUCGCUGGAGCUCAUAAAAGUCUUCCCUAAGCGGGGACAGCCCUUUGAAUGUUUGAUCUCAAAUCAGGUAGGUCUACCCGCUGAACUUA